UACGGAGGGCGCAAGCGUUGUUCGGAAUUACUGGGCGUAAAGCGCGUGUAGGCGGCUUGGCAAGUCGGGUGUGAAAUCCCGGGGCUCAACCCCGGAACUGCAUUCGAAACUGCCUGGCUGGAGUCCCGGAGAGGGUGGUGGAAUUCCCAGUGUAGAGGUGAAAUUCGUAGAUAUUGGGAGGAACACCAGUGGCGAAGGCGGCCACCUGGACGGUGAAUGACGAUGAGACGCGAAAGCGUGGGGAGCAAACAGG
rnacentral:rRNA from 1 species